AUUGAACGCUGGCGGAAUGCUUUACACAUGCAAGUCGAGCGGCAGCACGGGGGCAACCCUGGUGGCGAGCGGCGAACGGGUGAGUAAUACAUCGGAACAUGCCCAGUCGUGGGGGAUAACACUUCGAAAGAAGUGCUAAUACCGCAUCCGUCCUGAGGGAGAAAGCGGGGGAUCUUCGGACCUCGCGCGAUUGGAGUGGCGGAUGUCAGAUUAGCUAGUUGGUGGGGUAAAGGCCUACCAAGGCAACGAUCUGUAGCUGGUCUGAGAGGAUGAUCAGCCACACUGGGACUGAGACACGGCCCAGACUCCUACGGGAGGCAGCAGUGGGGAAUUUUGGACAAUGGGGGCAACCCUGGUCCAGCCAUUCCGCGUGAGUGAAGAAGGCCUUCGGGUUGUAAAGCUCUUUCGGCAGGAACGAAACGGCGAGCUCUAACAUAGCUUGCUAAUGUCGGUACCUGAAGAAGAAGCACCGGCUAACUACGUGCCAGCCGCCGCAGUAACAC
rnacentral:rRNA from 1 species